rnacentral:rRNA from 1 species
AGAUUGAACGCUGGCGGCAGGCCUAACACAUGCAAGUCGAGCGGUAGAGAGGUGCUUGCACCUCUUGAGAGCGGCGGGCGGGUGAGUAAUGCCUAGGAAUCUGCCUAGUGGUGGGGGAUAACGUUCGGAAACGGACGCUAAUACCGCAUACGUCCUACGGGAGAAAGCGGGGGACCUUCGGGCCUCGCGCCAUUAGAUGAGCCUAGGUCGGAUUAGCUAGUUGGUGAGGUAAUGGCUCACCAAGGCGACGAUCCGUAACUGGUCUGAGAGGAUGAUCAGUCACACUGGAACUGAGACGACGGUCCAGACCUCCGUACGGGAGCAGCAGGUGGGAAUAUGGACAGUGGGCGAAAGCCUGACUCCGAGCCAGUCGCCGCGUGGUGUCGAAGGAACGGUCGUUACGGAGUUA